CUCCGCGCAUCCGAGGAAAUUCUUCGUUGCUCCCGAGCCUGGCUAGCGCGAGCGGGAGAGGAGCAGUGUGGGAGAGUGUGCUGAGCAGCCCAACCAAUCAAUUUCCCUGCAUAUCCUGGUCACAUGCAAACAAGCAACCAAUCAACUGUCUGUGUAUCUUCAGAGCCUGGUCGACGGGGGCCUGCUUCGCUGAUACGAGGCAGGCUAGGCUGGUUCAGCAAACCAAUCAGGCCCCUAGUGGGACCCUGAACCCAUUAACGAAACGGCGGUGGGGCCAUGGAUCGGAACCUCAGGGUCGAGGGGAUCGACCCUUCUCCUUCCAGCGGCGCUGCUACUCGCCGCCGGCCCUCCGCUCCGGCGCCCCCUCCAGGUGUACCUUGCUGCUGGCCCUCGACUCCGCUCCGCUCUGGCGUCCCCUCCAUUGUCCUUUGGCGCUCUGCUCCGCUCUGUUCCGGUGACUACUCUGCUGUCCUUGGUACUCUGCUCCCCUCUGCUCUGGUGUUCAUGGCGGCGCAGUAGCUAUCCGACGCCGGCGCUCUUCUCUGCUCUUGUUGGGAUAGCUGUGGCUGGACAAUGAUAUUUUGGAUCAAGAAUGGACAAAGGAAAGGUUUCACAUGCAGAUGUUGUGUACCCUGAGUUGCUGGUGGUCUUUGUGCUUUACUGUUAUGCAAUCUCUUCGCCAGCUAUUUCUUUUGUUUUGUAAUUUUCGGGUGCUGUGGUAGAAGCAAGUGAUCGUUCUACCUUAAUUGUAUGGCAAAUAGGCAAUUUCCCUGUCUAGAAACUCUUCUGAAUUGUUAGAGCUCCAGUCAGUUGUUUGAACCUCUGGACUCUAAAACAACAA